rnacentral:rRNA from 1 species
AUGUCGCCGCCAAUCUCGCUCUGCGUCUUCGUCCUCCUCUCCUCCCUCCUCGCGGCGGCCAGGGCCGAGGACCCCUACCGCUUCUACACCUGGAACGUCACCUUCGGCGACAUCUACCCGCUCGGCGUCAAGCAGCAGGGGAUCCUGAUCAACGGGCAGUUCCCGGGGCCGCAGAUCGACGCCGUCACCAACGACAACAUCGUCAUCAACGUCUUCAACAACCUGCCCGCACCAUUCCUCCUCUCCUGGCAGGGGAUUCAGCAGAGGAGGAGCUCAUGGCAAGACGGCGUGUACGGCACAAACUGCCCGAUCCCUCCAGGGGGCAAUUUCACCUACAACAUGCAGUUCAAGGACCAGAUCGGGAGCUACUACUACUUCCCUUCUCUCGCGUUCCAUAAGGCGGCGGGCGGGUACGGUGGCAUCAGGGUCCUUAGCCGCCCGAGGAUCCCUGUUCCGUUUGACCCCCCUGCCGGUGAUUUCACCAUCUUGGCUGGUGACUGGUUCAAGCUCAACCACACUGAUUUGAAAGGCAUUCUGGACAGUGGUAACGACCUUCCCUUCCCUGAUGGUCUCCUUAUCAAUGGCCAUGGCUCGAAUGGCAACAAGUUCACAGUAGACCAAGGCAAAACAUACCGUUUUCGAGUGUCGAACGUGGGCAUCUCGACCUCGGUGAACAUAAGGAUCCAGGGCCAUUCCUUGCUCCUGGUGGAGGUGGAGGGGUCGCACACCAUGCAGAACACCUACUCGUCGCUUGACGUCCACCUAGGCCAGUCCUACUCGUUCCUGGUGACGGCCGACCAGCCACCCCAGGACUACACCAUCGUCGUCUCGACGCGCUUCACCAACCCCGUGCUCACCAACACCGCCACGCUCCAUUACAGCAACUCGAAUGGCGUCCCCGCGGCGUUGCCGCCUCCCCCAGGGCCGACGAUCGAGAUCGACUGGUCUCUGAAUCAGGCCAGAUCAAUCCGGUGGAACCUGACGGCAAGCGGACCAAGGCCGAACCCUCAAGGCUCAUACCACUACGGCCAAGUGAACACGACGAGAACGAUGAGGCUCGCCAACUCGCGGGUCUCCAUCAACGGCAAGCUGAGGUACGCGGUGAACAGCGUGUCCUUCAUCCCGGCCGACACCCCGCUCAAGGUGGCCGACUUCUACAACAUCCAGGGCGUGUUCACGCUGGGUAGCAUGCCCGACGUCCCGUCCGGCGGCCCCGCGUACCUCCAGACGGCCGUCAUGGCGUCCAACAUGAGGGACUACGUCGAGGUCGUCUUCGAGAACGCCGAGGGCUCUGUGCAGUCCUGGCACAUCGACGGCUACGCCUUCUGGGUCGUGGGGAUGGACGGAGGGCAGUGGACGCCGGCGAGCCGUCAGAACUACAACCUGAGGGACGCGAUCGCCCGGUACACGUUGCAGGUGUAUCCUGGGGCGUGGACGGCGAUCUACAUGCCGCUGGACAACGUGGGGAUGUGGAACGUGCGGUCGGAGAGCUGGGGCAGGCAGUACCUGGGCCAGCAGUUCUACCUCCGGGUGUACUCGCCGGCCAACUCGUGGCGGGACGAGAACCCCAUCCCCAAGAACGCGCUGCUCUGCGGCCGCGCCUCCGGCCGCCGGACCAGGCCGCUCUGA